rnacentral:rRNA from 1 species
UACGUAGGGGGCGAGCGUUGUCCGGAUUUAUUGGGCGUAAAGAGCUCGUAGGCGGUUUGGUAAGUCGGAUGUGAAAUCUCCAGGCUCAACCUGGAGGGGUCAUUCGAGACUGCUAUGACUAGAGUUCGGUAGAGGAGUGUGGAAUUCCUGGUGGAGCGGUGAAAUGCGCAGAUAUCAGGAGGAACACCCGUGGCGAAGGCGGGACUCUGGGCCGAUACUGACGCUGAGGAGCGAAAGCGUGGGGAGCAAACAGG